UUUGGAGUUGUGAGCUGAAAAAGAAAAAAAAAAUCUGAGUGAUGAAAGUGGAAAGAACCGGAUUGGUCGGGGGAAUGAAUGCUAAAAUGAAAGAAAGUGAGUGUGUGCUGAAAUGUAAAGCUCAUGUGUUGAAAUGAAAAGAGUCUCAUGAAAAGAAAAAAAAAGGAAAGAUUCAAAAAGAGGCUGGAUUAAGGAAGAGCCUGUGUGUUAAAGAAAAGAAACACACUAAGUGGUUGUUAAAGAAAGCAUUCCCCAAAGAGAUGAAAUGAAGAGAGUAAUGUGAGCUGAUUGAGUGUCAAAGACAAAUUGCCAUUUGGGGUGAGUAGGCUAGAGAAAGAGUCUAGAGAGGUUUAAAGUUGAGUGUGAAAAGCAUUUUGGGUGUGGGGUAGAUGCAGUUCUAUCUUUGUAUGCAUCCAUUGCUUUUUACCCUUAGCAUUUUACUGAAGUCUACUAAUUUUUGAGUGAUCCCCUUGCAUGGAGUACCAGUUACUUGAUUGAGAUCAUUUUAAUCUCAAAAUCCAGUCCCAAGCCAAAUGAAUUCACUUGAUUUGCAUGAACAUGAUCCAUUUGAAACUUUUAAUGAAUGUCAAAAGGUUGAGGUUAGGAAUGCUUGUGAAGGUUGGUGCUUGAGUUUGGUUCAUUUGGUGACAAGUAUGGCUAAUUUUUAUGAGUAAACCAGUUUGCAUUGCAGUCUAGAAUUGGUAACUUGAACAAUGAGCUUUGAAUUCUUUUAAUGAAGAUCUCUCUUUAAAGAAAUAUGAACUCCCAUGCAUUAAACCUCUCUCUUUCAUUUGUUCUUGUUUGCUUGAGGACAAGCAAAGCACAAGUGUGGGGGAGUUGAUAUACACAUAUUUUGUCAUGAUUAGGAUUGCAUUUUUGUCCAAAUAUUGAGUCUCAUGCAUAUAUUUAGCUAGUUUUAUUAGAGUUUGUCUUUAGUUCUAGCUUUGUUUAAGAUUUGCAUUAGGUCCUAGAGUGUCCUGCAUUUUUGUAGUGUUCUCAGGUCAUUUUGAGACUUUUUGGAGCAACUUGGAGCUGGGAUCACGGAGGAACCCUUGCCUGUGUACAGCAACUCGGAAAGAUGGUUUGAUGCCGACGAAACCUCUACUUUGAUCGCGUGAGACGAAGGGCUUGCCCUGUGAUUCAUUCUCCAGUGUCUUCAUCAAAAAUCAAUAGGGUCGAGUAUAGUUUCCAUAACACUUGAGAAAGUCCCAUUUGGAGUUGUGAGCUGAAAGUUACGGCGAUUGGAAGCAGUGCAUGUCUCGGAGCCGAUAAAGGACCAAAGCAACGCGCAUCAAAGAACUGGUGGAACGGAGCCUUUGCCGACGUCACCUGAGCUCGAGCCCUUCACCAAGAUUGUAGCUAAAGAGGUCAUCUGGCUCAUGGAGUUGGAAGAUCGAGGUUCGGACCAGCGAGCAAGGAGUUAUGAAACAUUUGGUGCAGGCAAUUUGUAUUCAUACCGACCAGUGGUACCGACUGAAAGUCAGUCGGUAUGAAUGCAAACAAAACCUGACUUUUGCUGAUCCUUGGAGUUCAAAUUUGCCGCAUGAAUGCAGAAGAGCCACACCGAGUAAAAGUCAAUCGGUGUCCGUCCCCUGAAGCUAUUCUUUACGCGGCACCGAGCAAAACACCGAGUGAAGUUCUGGUCUAGAUUCUGUCUAAGAGAUUCUUAAAGCCACACCGACCAAAAGCACCGACCGAAAGUCAGUCGAUACAACCUCGAAGAAGGACGUUUUUAUGGGCCUUUUUGGGGCCAAAACCUAGUUUGUUCUAGGUUGGCCCAUCUAGAAACCCUACCUAUAUAUAUGUUUUAGGCAUUAUCCAGCAGACUUAAGCUUGAUUCUCUUAGUUUUCUUUGCCUCUUUUCUGAAAAACCUAAACUUUGUAAGAGAGAUCUUCAUUUUCUGGGUUGAAUCAAGAGAGUAAUUAGGGUUUAAAGCUGACAUCCAUCAUUAUCUAUCAUCUCCAUCUUCAUCUUCCACCCCUUUGUGAGUUUUAAUCAGAGAGAUUGAGAGAUUUCUGUGUUUAAAGCUGCAAACCCAUCAUCAUCCAUCUUCUCCAUCUCCAUUUCUCAUCAUUAAUCAUGCCAAUCUUCUCAACUUGCAAAGGUUUAAGAGAGAUUAGUAUGAUUAGUGAGUAGUUUAGCUUAAUGAGGUUCUAGAUGUGUAGGUUAGGGUGCUAAGGUGUUAGAUUAGGAGUGCUUAGGGCUAGAUUCAUUGAUUCCUUUCUCUAAACAGCUGUUCUCUAGGCUAGAUCCUUGCACAUCACUUGUGAUCUAGAUUAUGGGAAUUUCAUGCACCACAAGUGUUUGAUGAAAUUCCUGAAAGAGCUGUAUUAGAGGUUUAAGCAUUUGCUGCAUGAUGAUAUUUUGUUAUUUGCUUGAAUGAUCUUUUAGAACUGUUUCUUAAUGCUCAUUGAUUCAUAUUUCACAAAUGAUGAUUUGGUUUGAAAAUGGAUUAGUGUAGAGGUUAAUGCCUUCAUUAGAGGAUUAAUCUAGAUUAGAGUUCUAAAUCACUUUAAUCAUAUCUCAUCAUUGUCAUUAGCAUUCCUGAUUUAGCAUCAAAGCAUCCUAGCCAACUAUCAUGUCUAGAAUCUCAUGCUUCCAUCAUCUCAUAUUCACACCACUUGUUAUUUGCUUGUUUAAGUUGAUCAUUAGCUUUAAUUCUUGUUUUAAGUUUGUUUAGUGGAAGUAACAUCAAAACCUUACUCAUUUGGCUUGAAUUAAGAACUGAUCCUGCAUCUUAGUGUCUACACAUGAUGGAUUUGAUACCCUUUGUACUGCAAAGUGACAAAAGGGAUUGAUAACCCCUCAUUUAGAGCCUUGAAAACUCUAGUUAUCAGGUUCCACAAAAAUCGCAAACAAAAUAAGGAAUAGAAUUCAAACGUUAUCCACCCAUUGGACAAAUUGGUUACAAAUAUCAAAAGCAAUAAUCAAUCACCAGCAAUGCAUUUCUGCAAUAAGUUCAUUACGAUGUCUUGCUUCUUCAUAACUUCAUUGGGAUCUCUUGUUUCGGUCACUUUUUGUUAACAGAUCUUUCACCUUCAUCCAAAUAGUCGGGACUCUUAAUUACCUUCUUAGAAGAAGGAGUGAGUGAAGAUCCAGACGAUGGAUUCUCAAGUUCGUCUGAACUCGUAAGCAUCAACGGUUGCUGGAGACAUAGGUACAUUGUUGAUGUCUUAAUUUAACUAAACGAUGAAAAAAUCGAGCUUUAGAAGUUUGUAAAAAUUUAUCAUAUAUUACCUCUAAUCGAGAAUCCCACUCCGUCAUAAUGUCGACAUCUUGAGACUAUAGUUCUACUACAUACGGAGACUGGCUUCCUUUUGUAUGUUCUUCUGAAACUGUUAUUUUGAAAAGCAUCCUCAUAGUUAGGAGCUUUGUCAAGCCAUCAGGGAGCCCUCAUGGUAAAUCAUGCGCAUCAUUAUAUAUAAUGGAUUAAUAUUAUUUAAGAAAAUGUAAAUAUUGCAUAAUGUAUUCAAUUAUUACACAAAUAACCUCAUCAUUUUGUUCCAUUAUAGACUCAGCUGAAUGACCUAACAACCUUUGAGCAGUGUCAUCAAACAUUAGGAAGCGGACAUCGACGUCUGAAUCAUCAGUUACAAAUAAUACAAUGUAGUACCUACAUUGUUGGAAAGAUAUUAGAAGAAUGAGUUAUUUAAACGUUACAAUCAUAAACAUGUAAUGUAGUGCCGGAAUAAAUGUAUGAUGAGACGAAUCAAUGUAAUAAAAUAAGGCGAACAUUUAUCUAGUCAAUCAGAGAAAGUCAAUAUUUAUAAUUUUGCUAUAUGUGCUAGAUAUAUUACCUAAGAAAUACUUAAUGAAAUAAGUAAUGUUUUCUUGACUUUAUGGGACAAAUCAUUGUAUUACCUUGCGACGAUGGUAUCAUAUGAAUAAAUAUCACCACAAUUCUUGCAACUGAAAAGAGGAAUCCUCUUAUCGUAAUCUUCAUCAUCAGACAUAAUUUCAUGCUCUAACACUUUGAUGUUGCAAGGUUUGCAUGCCCAAUAAUACCACAGCUUUGAAGUGUCAACGUCUUUGACCGUAACACAUGUUACAAUCUUGCCAGGCUAUAACAAAACCAUUAAUAUGUAUAUAGUUAAAUGUAAAUAUAUUUAUACCAUUUUCAAAAUAUAUAGCUCAUACCACUUUUGUAUCACGAAUUCCAGCUAUCGUCCGCCUCCUAUUUUUCACACCUAAGAAUUCUUCACGGUAGUCAAUAGCACCACCCCAAGAAGUCGAAUAACUCUGUUCAGCAUGCACAAUCAUUUGAUUUUUUUUGGCAACCUACAAAAACGUAAACAAUAAUUAUAUAAAUUCUAAAAUUUUAAAAUGAUAUUAAAUUGUCACAUAACAUAUUUGAGCUUUCUUAUCCCUUUUAAUCACUCUUGCUAGCUCAAAUAGCUGAUCUCUCAUCUUGAGACGGUUCCUUGCCUUUAUCCAAACCUUUCUUUGAAGCCUAAACACCCUUCUUGUGUGCAUGAUUUGUGAGGCCUUGUUUCUAGUAGACUUGGUAAAAAGUGUUGGGUUUAGAGCGACAAAGAUAGUGUUGCAUGUAGACACUAGUCCAACAUCAAGGGCUAGUCUAGGUUUAGGUGAAAGUGAGAGCAUUGAUUUGGAGUUGUGAGCUGAAAAAGAAAAAAAAAAUCUGAGUGAUGAAAGUGGAAAGAACCGGAUUGGUCGGGGGAAUGAAUGCUAAAAUGAAAGAAAGUGAGUGUGUGCUGAAAUGUAAAGCUCAUGUGUUGAAAUGAAAAGAGUCUCAUGAAAAGAAAACAACAAGGAAAGAUUCAAAAAGAGGCUGGAUUAAGGAAGAGCCUGUGUGUUAAAGAAAAGAAACACACUAAGUGGUUGUUAAAGAAAGCAUUCCCCAAAGAGAUGAAAUGAAGAGAGUAAUGUGAGCUGAUUGAAUGUCAAAGACAAAUUGCCAUUUGGGGUGAGUAGGCUAGAGAAAGAGUCUAGAGAGGUUUAAAGUUGAGUGUGAAAAGCAUUUUGGGUGUGGGGUAGAUGCAGUUCUAUCUUUGUAUGCAUCCAUUGCUUUUUACCCUUAGCAUUUUACUGAAGUCUACUAAUUUUUGAGUGAUCCCCUUGCAUGGAGUACCAGUUACUUGAUUGAGAUCAUUUUAAUCUCAAAAC
rnacentral:lncRNA from 1 species